GUCGGUAAUUUUGGGCAAUGGGCGAAAGCCUGACCCAGCAACGCCGCGAGAAGGAUGAAGUACUUCGGUAUGUAAACUUCGUAAGAAUAGGAAGAAUAAAUGACGGUACUAUUUGUAAGGUCCGGCUAACUACGUGCCAGCAGCCGCGGUAAUACGUAGGGACCAAGCGUUGUUCGGAUUUACUGGGCGUAAAGGGCGCGUAGGAGGCGUGGUAAGUCAGCUGUGAAAUCUCCGAGCUUAACUCGGAACGGUCAGCUGAUACUGCUGUGCUAGAGUACAGAGAGGGCAAUCGGAAGUCGUGGUGUAGCGGUGAAAGGCGUAGAGAUCAAGAGGAACCCCUGGGGCGAAGGCGGGUUGCUAGGCUGAUACUGACGCUGAGGCGCGAAAGCUAGGGUAGCAAACGGGAUUAGAAACCCCAGUAGUCC
rnacentral:rRNA from 1 species